rnacentral:rRNA from 1 species
UCCUACGGGAGGCAGCAGUGGGGAAUAUUGCACAAUGGGGCAAAGCGUGAUCCAGCCAUGCCGCGUGUGUGAAGAAGGCCUUCGGGUUGUAAAGCACUUUCAGCCGUGAGGAAAAGUUAGUACUUAAUACCUGAUAGCUGUGACGUUACCAACAGAAGAAGCACCGGCUAACUCCGUGCCAGCAGCCGCGGUAAUACGGAGGGUGCGAGCGUUAAUUGGAAUUACUGGGCGUAAAGCGCACGCAGGCGGUUUGUUAAGUCAGAGGUGAAAGCCCCGGGCUCAACCCGGGAAGUUCCUUUAAAACUGGCAGACUAGAAUCCUGGAGAGGGGAGUGGAAUUCCGGGUGUAGCGGUGAAAUUCGUAGAUAUUGGGAGGAACACCAGUGGCGAAGGCGACUCCCUGGGCAGAGACUGACGCUCAGGUGCGAAAGCGUGGGGAACAAACAGGAUUA